rnacentral:rRNA from 1 species
GAUGAACGCUGGCGGCGUGCUUAACACAUGCAAGUCGAACGAAGCACUUUAUUUGAUUUCCUUCGGGACUGAUUAUUUUGUGACUGAGUGGCGGACGGGUGAGUAACGCGUGUGUAACCUGCCUUGUACAGGGGGAUAACAGUUGGAAACGGCUGCUAAUACCGCAUAAGCGCCCAGCAUCGCAUGAUGCAGUGUGAAAAACUCCGGUGGUAUAAGAUGGACCCGAGUUGGAUUAGCUAGUUGGUGAGGUAACGGCCCACCAAGGCGACGAUCCAUAGCCGACAUGAGAGAGUGACCGGACACAUUGGGACUGAGACACGGUCCAAACUCCUGCGGGAGGCAGCAGUGGGGAAUAUUGCACAAUGGGCGAAAGCCUGAUGCAGCGACGCCGCGUGAGCGAAGAAGUAUUUCGGUAUGUAAAGCUCUAUCAGCAGGGAAGAUAAUGACGGUACCUGACUAAGAAGCACCGGCUAAAUACGUG